rnacentral:rRNA from 1 species
CACAUGACUCUCGGCAACGGAUAUCUCGGCUCUCGCAUCGAUGAAGAACGUAGCGAAAUGCGAUACCUGGUGUGAAUUGCAGAAUCCCGCGAACCAUCGAGUCUUUGAACGCAAGUUGCGCCCGAGGCCACCUGGCCNAGGGCACGCCUGCCUGGGCGUCACGC